rnacentral:misc_RNA from 1 species
AAGUCGUAACAAGGUAACCGUAGGUGAACCUGCGGUUGGAUCAUUAAAAAAUCUAUAUGGGUGGAAGCUGAGCCUCCCCUUGGGGAAAGCCGGCCUGAAGCCCGACCCACACCUUUGUGAACCACGAACGUAUUUUGGUGAGGCCUUUGCUGCUGGGGUUAUCUUCCCCACAGCACUGGGAUGGGACGCUGACCGAGCGUCGGCCGACCUCCGCUCGCCUCACCGACCCACACCUGUUUUACAACAUUUUUUGUAUUAAAAAGAGAAAUCAAUGAGAAACAACUUUAGACAACGGAUCUCUUGGCUCUC